rnacentral:rRNA from 1 species
UACAGAGGUCCCAAGCGUUGUUCGGAUUCACUGGGCGUAAAGGGUGCGUAGGUGGUCGGGUAAGUCUGAUGUGAAAUCUCCGAGCUUAACUCGGAAAUGGCAUUGGAUACUAUUCGGCUAGAGGGUUGGAGGGGGGACUGGAAUUCUCGGUGUAGCAGUGAAAUGCGUAGAUAUCGAGAGGAACACCAGUGGCGAAGGCGAGUCCCUGGACAACUCCUGACACUGAGGCACGAAAGCUAGGGGAGCAAACAGG